UCUUUAACAUUUUUGAGUCUCCAAGGCAAUUUCAAUGCUACAGUGAAAGACCCCCGAAGGGAGACCCUCACUCAAGCCUCGGUACAGCCGCGGACCCAAGAAGACACUGAGACCA
rnacentral:pre_miRNA from 7 species